CUUUCCUGCGUGCCGGGAGGAGGGCAUUGUUUCUCUGUCGCCCCAGUGAAAACCUGGCGGGCCUUGACGCCCGCCUGGCUCCGGGGCCCAGGAGGGCGCUAAAGAUCACGGAAGGCUCGGGAAGGCUGUCCCGACUCCCAGUUAUGUGGAAGAAGCAAAUGAGAUCUUAUUCUCUUUGUGUGGAGGUUUUUUUAAGCCGUGGCGGCAAGCCGUAGGUGCACAGCAGUUUCUGAGAAGAUACCGGAGAGUCACGUAGGCGGGGCCUCUGGAGGGAUGGGGUCUGGAAGAGAGGGGCGGGGCGUGUCUCCUUUCCCUUGAGCAUCCUUGGAGGACGGCACUAAGCGGACCGGCAUUGUUUCUCAGUUUGUAAACCCCCGCCAAACAAAAGCCCUGUGCCCCGCCGCGGGCUGACCCGGAGUCACUCGGCGACCCCUUUGCCCGGGCCGCGAGCGUGGGCUCACCAAAGCCCCGCCCACCUACUUGCCCCGCGCGUGGUCAGAGCGGAAUAACGAGGCCCUGUUUCCAGAUGAGAAAACCUAGGUCGGGUCCUUUGGAAGACUUCACUGUUUGUGAGGUCCCCACACUCCCCGCCCCCGGGCUCUAGUUGGCAUCGCUCAGCAAAGCGGGUGGGAGCGUCCUCUAACUGCCCCCGCGCCACGCCGGGGACAGAGCAUCCCUCCAGACCCCACCCCUCCCCGGGACAGCACCGCGGGGCCUGGCCGCCAGCCAUCCCUCUCCCCGGCCCCGCCCCCGGCCCCUCCCCAAUGAGGCUGGGCACGCCCCUGUUGCGAGUCGUCACCUCCCAGCCACCAGGCGCUGUCGGAGCGGAGCCGCCCCCUCGGGAGUUAGGGAGGGCUCUCCAGUCUCUAGCCUCUGGCUCCCCCUUAAACUGGGGUCUGACGGCGUGGCUUGAGCGGGUGCUUGGUUCCCCCGAAAUCUCCGUUAGUUCCACCACCCCUACCGGAAGUAAACAGAAGUUAGGUAAAAACGGGAUGCUUGCUACACUACUGCAGCCUCAAAACCGGCUCCCGGUCCCCCGCCAACCAAAUGCACCCAUUCCCCCCCAGUAUAGAAAUUCAGCAGCCGCUUCUAGUGUGGAGUUGAUGACCAAGAGCCCGGCUGUCUGUGCCCCUAGAUCCCGCCCCUUUAGGCUCCUGCCUCAAGGGUCGGAGCUUCUGAGUUGCCAUUCUUUCCUGGGCCCGAAAGCUUGGCCUAUGGCCCGCAGCCGUACCAGCCGAGUUUCAUCUAAGGGUUUCAUCCACUCAGACGAGGUGGGAGGACUCUGGUGUCUCCUUCUCCCACCGCUUGGUGUUGCCCGCAGUUUCCAUGGCUCCUGGAAGCCGCGAUCGCGUCAGCAGCUGAGGGUGGAGGAGCUCAGAGAGGCUCCUGUCCCUAGCCCUGACCUGGGCGCCAGGCUCUGAGGGGGUAAGUCGGACCCUCUUCCCGCUAGCCCUCCCACCAUCGAGAACACAGGAGUCCCCGCCUCCCAGUAAAGAAGCAGAGCUUUCUUUUUUAGAAGCAGGAUAGGCGCCAUCUCCCAGCUCCCCCUCUAAAAUCUUCAGUCCAGCGGCUGUCCUGCCUGAAGUUCUACCUUAGAGCCUCAUUCUUUUGUCUCUUUGUUCCUAAGAACUCACACCUAGAAGAGAGGCACUUGAGGAAAGUGAAGUAUGGGUAACUCCACCACCCCCAGUUCACCCCACCCCACCUCCCUCAUACCUCCAGUGCUGGAUGGCUGAGACCUUGGCAACUGGUGGCUGGGGAGGUCAAGGGCCUGGAGCACCUUCAGAGAAGGUUUGCUCACAUCCUCCGCCCCUCAGGUCCACGCUCUUUCUCUGGGCCUCAACCCAUGUGCCUGCCAAGUCUUUUCUGUGCUGGUUGAGGACACCAAGGAGAUGCCUCUGCCCUGUGCCCUGCCACCAGCCACCUGAGCCCCACAGCAACUAUGGCCCCCUUGAUCUCCCUUUUGCCCCCCUGUGCUCUUGGCUCAGCUCACCUCUCCCCCCAGGCCCCACCUUCUCUGAUCCCCUCCUUGUCCUCCUGCCCUUGCUCUCUUCUAUCUGCCACAUCCAUCUUUGCCCUUUCCAGGGCAGUUAACUCACCUUCAGGCCUUAGCCCAAGGGUCACCCUGGAAAGCCUUUCUGGGAGCCCCAAGGAAGGGUCUGACUCCCUUCUCUCUGCUGCCAUGGCACUUGGUGGCUGUGCUUCCCUCUGCGCUGGCUCCACAAGCUCAACAGCCUGACCUGUACCACUCCCCACUCUGGUAGACCAUGAGCGCCCCCCGCAAACCAAGCCAGGCAAGCUCCGAGUCUCAGUAAGGGCUGGGGGCUGCCCAUAGCGAGCCCCUGCCUCUAAGUGGGAAAGAUGGAGCACCCAGCCAGUGUGAAAUUGUGGGUGCUAUGCAGGGUGUGGAAGGAGGGGGGCAGGGACUGGUCCUCAUGGUCCAUUUUGGAGAGGCCUUGUGUGCUGGUAAAGUGGAGGGAGACAGCCCAGGAGGGAGCUACAGUAACCUGAACCUGGAGUCGGGAGAGGAGAGAGUCGAGGUGUCCAGAAGGGAGAGGGCCUGGUGGGUGGUGCUACAAUCCUGAGCAGGGACGGGUCUGGGAAUGUGAGGAGUAGGCAGGUCAGUUACGGGUCAGGGCCCCCACCUUACAGCUGAAGCUCUGAAAGCCAGAGAGGUACUGGAGCAGUGACGUGAUUUGAGGGCUUCUGACCCCCUACAUCAGAGCUAAAAUACGGCGUCUCCCCAGAUGUUCCCUGGCCCCGGCCAUUUCUAGGCUCCCACACUGGGAAGGAGAGCAGCAGGAUGGAGGAAUGUGGGCCCAGUUUGCAGUGGACUGACUACCUGCGUGACUCGGGGCAACUGAUUUCCCCUCUGAACUUCAGUCCCCCCACCCCAAACCCGGGAGGAUCAAAUGACCCCGUGUUUGUUCAGCAAGUAGCUGGGCCAUAGCACCCACAGAUCAUGGAAUCUUGGAACUUAGAACUGUUUAGCGAGGUUGAGGCUGGUGUUUAUUUGAAAUCCGAAUCACCAGGGAGAAUCCUGGGCGAAAGUUUGGGGUUGAAGGGUUUAAGUGCCCACUCAGCCCCAGGGCCUGUUUCCAUAUCUGAGGCGAGGCCUCAGAGGCUGGUGCUCUGGGAGGGCAGGUGUGCCCCAGCUCCAGGGUCUCCCCUCUAUCCUGCUGUCAGGACCCACUGAGAGCCCCACGGGCCUGAUGCCUGGUGCUGCCUGCUGUUCCCGGCACUGCCAUCACCCCUAGCUACUGGACUGUGCUCACCCACUGAGCCCCACUGAAGGAUGCAGGUGCUCUGACGGGGCCCCUGAGGGAAGCUGGGAGUGGUCAGAGAAGAACCUGCGGGUGUGGCUGGCAGAGAGCAGGUAGCAGCGGGCUGAGCUGGCUGGCCGCCUGCGGGCAGCCCUGGAGGCCCUGUCUGAGCAAGCACAGGUGCUGCAGAAGCAGGGAUGCAGGCUGGGACUCGGCAGGACCCAGUGUGAGCUGCUGGCUCCGAAGCAGAAAGUGAGGCUCUGGUCCUCUCCCCGUGAGUCCCCAACAGGGCUACCAUGUUGAAAGUGUCAUCUCUGUGAAUGGCACCCCCUGGAGGUGUGCAGUGCAUUGCCUGGUGUGGCUGGGAGCAGUGGAUAGAGGCAAAGGAAGGCCCAGGGAACCUCUGCCCUUCCCCUCCCAGGUAGAAUAAGAGGGAAGGAGGUGGCUGGUUUUAGCUCAGUGGACAGAGGAGUUUCCUCAGAAGCCCAAUCACCCCUGGUGAAGUUUCAGUCCCCAGGGAGGGAGGGAGGGUGAUGCACACUGAGGCUUCUAGGGGAGGUACCCAGCAUCCCUGCCGCAUGUGAGAGUAUGGACAGUGCCACCCUGUGAUGGCCUAGAUACCUAAGCCUUUAUGUGACCUGGUGGUCUCAGCCCACAGCUGACCCUCCUAGAGCCACUGCUCCCUACCAGCCAGGGAGGACCCCGGGAACCCAGUUGACAUGCCUGCCCACUCUCCAGCAUUCCACAGCAGCAGCCCCUGUACUCUUUUUUUUUGUUUGUUUUUUUAAAAUAUAUUUAUUUAUUUUUGGC